rnacentral:lncRNA from 1 species
UAGGAUCUGUGUUCUUAUCAAUAUUGUCAACUAAAACAAAUUUCAAAAACUCUUUUUAAUCUUGAGUCCACAUUCAAAUUGGAAGCUCAGCUCAGUUAUCCUCUUAAGAGUAUCAUCAUUGAGAGAUAAACAAAAUAUAUAUAAGAUUUCUUUAAAAAAAAAAACUGCUUAUAUGUAUGUGAUGAAAAACAACCGACCAAAUGAAGAAAUUUGCCGUAAUGAUGUUUGUACAUUAAUGCAUGAACCCAAAUGAUGAAAUUUAAUGCACGAAGCAAAAC